GGGAGUGCAGAGCUGGAGGACUCUCCCACCGGGGCGGGGAAGCUGAGCGAGGCAGGACCCAAAGCCAGGCAUCAAUAAACAGAUUAGUGGGCGAGUACAGUGCUGCUGGCCCUGUCUGUAUUCGCACCCGCCGCUGGAAAAGGUCAACCGCUCAGUACUCCCGGACACCGUUCUGCACGGAAACACCAACAAACCCUCCGUAAGUACAUACGCGCACACAUGCCAACGCUUGAACACACACACACCUAAACACGGAAAUGCAUGCACACACGUCACACACACAUCUAUACACAUUCACUUAUACAUGCAUGCACACACAAACACACACACACACACACACACACACAACUAUACACAUGCACGCAUACACGCAUGCACACAUACACACAUCUAAACAUGCACACAAAUACACACACACACACACACACACACACACACACACACACACACACACACACACACACACACACACACACACACACACACACACACACACACACACACACACACACACACACACACACACACCCAAGCUAGAACAGCAGCAGCCAGGAGGAAUGUGGUGAGGAGGAGAUGAAGGGACUGAGGCCAACAUGGCUCCCGGUCUGGUAAGUGGCCGACAUGGGGAUGUGCACCCAGCAGCACACGGCAUUGUCUCUGGUCCCUUGUGAUAGGCCAGGCGGGGGCCUUCCAGCCCAGGCCCUUGUUGUCUGACGGAUGUGAGUGAGAGUUGAACACGGUGUUGAAAGACGCUUCAGCCUGCCGCACUAAACCAUCCCAGCCGUCUAAAUCUGGAGGGGACUUUCUUUUUUUUUUUCGGCGCCAAUGUAAAACAGUUGCUUGACUCUGUCAGCGAUGUGUACUUAAAUGUCAAGUGUUUUUUUUCCUUCUUCCCCCAGCAGUUUGCCUCAAAGUAGCGCUGUAUAUUUACCCCCUAACACCUAAGGGUGACACGGCUGGCUUUGACAUUUGGAAUUCCGACUUGCCAGCCAGGAGCUGUUUAACAACGUCCUCGGCGGGUAUGUUUUCCCGGGACUAAUGUAAACAUAACACCGGCUGAAGGACUUUCAUUCACUGUACGUAUUUAAAUACGGCACUCGCCCCAACGACUCCAAGCCUCGUUUGACAUGUUUAACACUACAGUGUAUAUUGUACCAGAGAGAGAGGGCGAGAGAGAGAGAGAGAGAGAGAGAGAGAGAGAGAGAGAGAGAGAGAGAGAGAGAGAGAGAGAGAGAGGCGAGAGAGAAAGAGAGGGCGAGAGGGAGAGAGAGAGAGGGGAUGGAAAGAAAGAAAGAAAGAAAGAAAGAAAGAAAGAAAGAAAGAAAGAAAGAAAGAAAGAAAGAAAGAAAGAAAGAAAGAAAGAAAGAAAGAAAGAAAGAAAGAAAGAAAGAAAGAAAGGAAGAUUAUUGAGAUAAUUAGGCAGAAUGUCAGCAAUCUUCAUAUCACUUCCUCCAAAUAGAAAACAUCUUGAGGUUGGAAAACAAGCAUUCUGAGAGAAGGGACUCCAAGGAUACUCUCCUUAUUUAGAGGUGCCUGUGCUUUCACUGAACAGAGCCCUUUCCAGGGUCUGGCCCUGCGGUUUCCCCCAAAGUAAGCUUGACAAUCUGCAAAUCAGAAAUUAGCUCUAACAAGCUUGGGCUGAAAGUAGAGGUUUUUGUUUUGUUUUUUUGGAAAUCCGAGGAACCAUUGCCCACAAGGGCAAGGUCAGAGUUCAUUCAGCAGCCAUGUUCUGAGCCUGUUUACAUUAACCAGCAACGAGGCCAAUCAAGCAUAUAUGAUUUCACCUUUUUUACAUUAAGACAGACCUUUUGAUGUUGGCAGCCGUAUAACAUCUGCUUUUGAGUUAGGUACACUUGAAGGAGCAUGUUUAGGUUGUGGUGUUUUUUUUCUUCUAGAGGUAGGUAGACAGGGAAUUGUUAACAGUAGAGGAAAAUUACUUUGAGAAGGGCUUGCUUCAGUGCGUGUGAUUUGAAUGAUUCGAGAGAAAAAAUAUGAAAAUGAAAAUUGCUGUGUCGAAGAUGCGAUCCAACUGACGGAGCAGAAAGAAUGUGGAGGAGAAGGCGAAACAUCACAAGUGAGGAGACGGAGGGAAGAAGAUGUUCUGUUUUCUAUUAGCGUGAGGGGGUGCCAACUUUCUCCCGAGGACAGACCGUACCUGCCUCCAAAUCCCUUGCUUAAGAAAAAUAACCAAGAAAUUAGAAACAAUGCAAGGCAACACAAAAUACAAGGUCAUAAAAUAAGUGUUCCCAUCUAUUAAAUACAUGGGCAUUCUUUUGUUUUUUAUGAUGAUGUCGUUGAAGACAAUAGAGCAAUAUAAACAACG
ensembl:lncRNA